UGGAUAUAGACAUUCAUUUCUUUCUAAUUUCAGAAAGGGGAAACAAUGUUCUCAUUUUAGGAAUGCUAACUCAUCACCCAUCCCUGCCUGCAGCAUUUACUCUCUCACUCAAAUGCUGCAUUCUUUUAAAUUUACUUUUUAAAAAUCCAACACCCUGAACUGGAACUAUGAGAGAUUUAUUAUGGAAAGCUACAGCAAGGAGAAAUGUGUGCCAACCUUCUCCCUCCUGCUGCUUCAGUGAUUCAAGCAUUGCCUCUGCAAAGUCAGUGUGCCGUUAAGUUGUGAGAUGGAACAGUCGGAGACUGCUUUUGAACUAACCCAAGGUCCUGUGUGGAAAUGUUCUGAAAUAAAGCAUUAAACUAAGACCACAGCAAUAAUGAAGCAGCAGAACAUUUAUGUACGACCUAGUCAGAGUUUUUCCACAAGUGCAAGGUGUGAUUCGCCCCUCCCCCAAUCAACCAAAUAAUGAUCAUUGUGAUCAGAAGUGACUAACUGGAUUCAUCUAACCCUGAUGUUGUGGGAUGAGAAACAUUGACUGGCCAAAGUCAACCAGCCAGCUUUCAUGCCUAAGCUUGAGGGUCAUGCAGAUGAAUGCCUUCAUAGAUCUACUGAGAAGUCAUGUACCACAGAACCAAUGGGAACUCACAUUAAAUGUAUUCUUCUGCCAUUGUUUAAAUGAUACAUCAGUUGUCAAAACAAGUAUUGCCUCAAACAAAAAUAUCAUUCUAGGGCUGGACAUAAUACUGAAGAUCACCAGCUGAGAGCUGGAUUGUGAAACUGAAUGAAAACUUCCCAGGACAAGACAAAACAGUGGCAAACAACUUUCAUUGUGUUUUCAGGAAAGCAAAAAGGACAUGUCCAUUUGAUCAUUAGAUACCUCAGAAGCUGGACUUUGCAUUCUGCAGUUAAAAAUAGUACAGACCGGGGUACAGGCCAUUAUCUGUGAUAUCACAAUUGCGGAACUGUCUUCUUCUAAGACAUUAAUUUGUUCAUUUUUUUUCUAUGACACAAGAUUUUAUAGUAUUCUGUUUUUUUGUUACAUUUUAAUUUGUCCUGGUUAUUGAAUUGAUAUCUCUCUCUGUUCCCAACUGGUUGUUAAAUUAUAUUUAUUUAUAUUAAAAUAGCUUAAAUAUAAAAACAUAAAAAAUGUAAAUACAGUGUGAAUAAAGCAAUUAAAGAAGUGAAUGAUUUCUACUUCUUAAAAACAAGAGUAAUAACUAAAUUUGUAUUUAUGAUUCCAUGUAGUCUUCCUGCUUGAUGGAAAAAAGGCAUCCAUAACUAGUGACAUUAAAACAUAUAAACUGGCAUUGGUAGAGAAGGAAAGGUAAGAAAAGAUAAACAGUCUUCUAAUUGUCUGCUUUUGUUAGUUCCUGCUGGGUUUUUUGUUUUUUUUUUGAGUUGGCAACUUGAGAGCAAUUCAGGUACUAUUAGUAAAUAGGAGUAAAUUCUUAUGACAGAAUUAAAGACAAGGGGAAGUUUUUUAAAAUACUUUAUAAGAUUUAGAACUUGGCUGUAAUGUGAAUUUCCAUUCUCUUGAUUAGCUUCAGGGAAAAUAGUCUCAAUUUUCCAACUGUAACUAAUAAAAUGGGUCAAUUUUUGUUAUGAUUCUAAAAUUGUAAUGCCAUGUUUAAAAUUGGAUUUCAUUCAUAUAUACUACAUAUCAUUGCAGAAUGAAUAUGGCAAUAAUUCCAGAAAACUAAAAAAAAUGUUUGUUUAAAAAAACCCAUAAUUUCAUUCCUUUUACAAUAGUCAUUCACUAGCCUAAUUGAAGCAAUUAUAGCCAGUAAUGGAAGUUGUGCAUUUUAUCUUUAUCUAGGAUUUGAUUGAAGCACAUUUUUGUAUGAAUCCAGCAAUUCUGCCUAAUUGAAAAAGAAUAGAAUAAAAUGCUUUACUUGGCCAGGUAUGAUCAGACACACAAGGAAUUAGUCUCUGGUACAGAAACUCUCAAUGUAUAUGCAAAACAACAGAGUAAUAAUAACCAUAAUAUGAUACCAAAUAAAAGAGAGUAGUAGAGAAGAUAAGAAGGAUAAUAAUAAUACUACAGCUAUACUACAUGGGUAAAUAAACUUAGACAUAAAACAAUACUGUGGGAAUUAGGUGUUCAGCAGAGUGCUGGCACGAGGGGGAAAAAAAAACUGUCCUUGUGUCUAGUUGUUUUGACAUGCAGUGCCCUAUAGUGGCAUUCUGUGGGGAGGAGUUAAAACAGUUGAUGUUCAGAAUGUGAGGGAUCUGUAGAUAUUUUCUCAGCCCUCUUUCUGACCUAUAGUGUACAGGUCCUCCAUGGAAGGCAGGCUGGUUGCAACUGCAUUUUUUGCUGUUCUAACUAAUCUCUCUUAGUCUUAACCAUUCUUUCCCACUUUAAUUUUAUUUUAAUCUUUUUGUCUAUAUAUGCUCUAUACCAGACAUGUCAAACGGGUGACGUCACGAAUCAGGAUGGUUUUGCCAUUGGCGGCAAUGGGGUGGGCAUGACUUCUGGAUGACGCAUUCAGUCUGUGGGCCAGCAGUUUGACAUCUCUGCUCUAUACAGUACAAUUUUUGUAGUGUAUUUUCUCCAUCCUGAUUUUUUAAACAAUGAUUCUGUUAUAUGCAUUUCUUUCAUCCACAGCUUGUUUUACUUCUUCAUUCCAUCACUCCAUUAAGCAUUCCUUUUGGGUAACACCACAUACAUUGUCUAGCAUAACUCUAUUCAAUGUGUUCCAAGUAACUUCAAUGUGCUGUUUUCAUUUGUUUACUACUGAUUGGAAAAAAAGGAGUAUAUCUUUUUAUCCCACUUUUAAUCAUUCAAUAUUUACAUUAGUAUUUUUCAUUCUUUUCUUUUUAUUCCAAUUCUAUUUUCCCCAAAUAUCUCUCUUGCCAUUAUUAAACCAUGGUCUAUCUUAUGUUCAAACCAUUCCAUCACCCUUGUAUCUUUGUUAGUUUUCUCAAUAUUUCAUCAUAAACAAUAAAAUCAAUCAUGAUUUCAGAUUUAUAUUCAUGCCUUUGCCAUGUGAAGAUACAAAUAAUUGAAUAAUUUUUCAGGCAAAUAUCCAUCAAGCAGUCACUAUUUGUAUUUAUUUUGGCUCUCCAAAUGUUCAAACCACUUUUUCUCCAGACUCUUGUCUUAUCUUAAUUCUGGUCAUUUAUUCAUGUCACUUAUCAGAAUACUUUAGUCAGAAUGUUGUACAAUUUAACGUCAAAGUUUUUCAUUAAUUAUUACCAAUUACUGGAGUAGAAUUCAAACUUAUCAUUGCCUACUUUCAUAUUCACCCACAACAACCUAAAUAAGAUCAAUUUACACUUUUUGAUACAUAUAUUAACACUUUUGUUCACAAUUACUAUACUUUCAUUUUCUUGCAUAUUUUCAUCAACCUUAUUCCACAACAUUGAAACACCUUCAUUCAUUUAUUUCCCUUUUUUCUAUAGAUGUAUAUUCUUCACAGAUAUACAUCUAUAGCUAUUUUCUUUCCUUUAUUAAUUGAUAAUCAUUAUUACUUACUCUCUUUACAUUCCAUGUCAAAAGUUUCCAUAUGCCAUAAUUGUUACCAAAUGGCCCAUUGUGGUUUUGGUCAAUUAAGGUUUUAAUAUAAGAAAUUUUUAAUAAUAUAGGGACUAAGUUAUCAAUUGUAGUUGUACAUAUGCCAACUUAUUUGAGGAACCAUCUCAUCCCAAUGGGACUGGCCCACCCCACCCAUUCCAGAAGAAGAGGCAUGCUGUAGGCCUCAUCAGUCAAGGAAUUCUGACUGGUGGGGUGCAGGAGAAGAGCCCUUUCUGCCAUGGCUCCUGCCCCUUGGAACAUCUUACCCCUGAGGUGAGAUCUGCUCCCACCCUUGUGAUCUUUCAUAAGGGGCUGAAGAUCUGGCUCUGUCACCUGGUUUGGGUGCCCAAUGUGGAAGUAUCACACUGGAGGAGGUUGAUGGUUUAAGAAAAAAAAUCCCAUCUCUGCAUCUAUGCUCCCUCCCAAUUUUUAAUUGUAAUUUUACUGUGAAUUGUAAUUCUAUUUUAUUGUUUUUAGAAAUAUUUAUGUUUUAUAGUUUUAUAGCUUUUAAUGUUGUAACCUGUCCAGCGUUGCCUCCAGGCAAAAUGGGCAGCAAAUAAAUCUAAUAAAUAAAAUAAAAAUAAAUAAAUAAAUAAAUACUGCUGUACUAGCCAGUUUUGGCACAUUUUGGCUAAUGUACCAUAAAUAAAGCUAAAGCUGAAUUUUCUUUGAAGAAUGCUCAUACUAUUCUAUCCAGUUUAGAGAUUACCUUGAAAGUCAAUAUACAUUGCUUGCAUUAACCAACUGACAUUUGAUUGACAUUAAGUGCUGUGAGAUAAACAGUUAUAUAAAUUGUUCAAAUAAAUAAAUAGACCAUUCUAAACAUAAGAGAAGCCAGCUGUAGGAAGUAUGCUAUAUAUGGAGGUCUUCUAGUCCAGCCUCUUGCUCAAGCAGGAGAUCUUAUAUUAUUUCAGAAAAGUGGCUGUCCACCUCU